rnacentral:rRNA from 1 species
AUUGAACGCUGGCGGCAUGCUUUACACAUGCAAGUCGAACGGUAACAGGCCGCAAGGUGCUGACGAGUGGCGAACGGGUGAGUAAUGCAUCGGAACGUGCCCAGUCGUGGGGGAUAACGCAGCGAAAGUUGCGCUAAUACCGCAUACGAUCUAUGGAUGAAAGCGGGGGACCGUAAGGCCUCGCGCGAUUGGAGCGGCCGAUGUCAGAUUAGGUAGUUGGUGGGGUAAAGGCUCACCAAGCUGACGAUCUGUAGCUGGUUUGAGAGGACGAGCAGCCACACUGGGAGUGAGACACGGCCCAGACUCCUACGGGAGGCAGCAGUGGGGAAUUUUGGACAAGGGGCGCAAGCCUGAUCCAGCAAUGCCGCGUGCAGGAAGAAGGCCUUCGGGUUGUAAACUGCUUUUGUACGGAACGAAACGGUCUGGGUUAAUACCCUGGGCUAAUGACGGUACCGUAAGAAUAAGCACCGGCUAACUACGUGCCAGCCGCCGCGGUAACAC